rnacentral:lncRNA from 1 species
UUACUGGCCAUGUUACCUUGAGUAUCUCAUUUAACAGCCUCAGUUGCCUCAGAUUUCAAACAUGAGAUAGCAAUAGCUGUGUUCUUGAUUCUAUAAUCUUGGGAGGAGCCAGGAAAUCUUUUAAAAACCCCAGGAAAUUAUUUGUUGUUGUUUAUAUCCUCAAUUAUAUUGUUUUUUAAAAAUAAUUUUAGACUUGCAGAAAUGUUUCCAAAAUUGUAGAGAGUUUAUGUAUCAAUCACCUCAUCCACCUUCCCCUGAUGUUAACCAUUUAUAUCAUCCCAAUACAAUAAUAAAAAUUGGAAAAUUAACAUUGGUGCAGUAUUGUUAACUACUCACUCCUCAGGAAAUUCUGACAUGACUAGUCUUUGGCAGACUGAAUAACAGCCCCUGAAGAUGUCCACAUCCUGAUCCCAGAACCUGUGUAUGUCAACUUGUCCAGCAAAAUAGACUUUGUAGAUAUGACUAAAUUAGGAAUCAUGAGAUGGGGACAUUGCAUGGAUCAUCCAGGUGACUGGGUGUAAUCACAAUUGUCCUUAUAAUCAUAAUGGACACAGGAAGAGUUAGCAUCAGAGAAGAAGCAAUGUGAUAAUGGAAGUGGAAGGAGAAAAGGCAUUGUGAUAUAGCCUAUGAGCCAAGAAAUGAGGACAGCCUCAAAAAGCUGUAGUCACAAAAAGAAUUCACUUGAAAAACUACUUUUACCAAGAUGAAGGAUGACUUUAUGAAUGUUUUCUUCUGGGAAUAUUUGAAUCUUUAAUAAAUGUACAGGGACAAAGAAAUCUAGUUGAAUAAAUAGAAUUUCAAACUCACGCAAGUUCAUAAAUUCAUGGCAUAUAUAACCCAGCAGCUGCUCUGAUAACCUGUGAAGCUCACUUUAUGUUGCUGUUGGUUUUCUUGGAAGGGUGGAGGAAUGACUAAGGGGAAAGAAAAUUUGUUAAACACUUACUAUAUUAGUCUGUUCUCAUGCUGCUACUAAAGACAUAUCCAAGACUGGGUAAUUGAUAAAGGAAAGAGGUUUAAUGGACUCAGUUUCACAUGACUGAGGAGGCCUCACAAUCAUGGUAGAAGGCAAAGGAGGAGAAAAGGCACAUCUUACAUGGUGGUAGGCAAGAGUCAUGUGCAGGGGAACUGCCCUUUAUAAAACCAACAGAUUUCAUGAUACUUAUUUACUAUCAUGAGAACAGCACAGGAAAACUCAGUGCCAUAGUUCAAUUACCUCCCACUGGGUCCCUCUCACAACACGUGGGGAUUAUGGGAGCUACAUUUCAACAUGAGAUUUGGGUGGGGACACAGCCAAACCAUAUCAUUCCUCCCUUGGCCCCUCCCAAAUCUCAUGUCCUCACAUUUCAAGACCAAUCAUGCUUUCCCAACAGUCCCCCAAAGUCUUAACUCAUUUCAACAUUUACUCAAAAGUCCACAGUCCAAAAGUCUUAUCUGAGACAAGGCAAGUCCCUUCUGCCUAUGAGCCUGUAAAAUCAAAAGCAAGUUAGUUACUUCCUAGAUACAGUGGGGUUACACACAUUGGGUAAAUACACCUGUUCCAAAUGGGAGAAAUUG